rnacentral:rRNA from 1 species
GAUGAACGCUGGCGGCGUGCCUAAUACAUGCAAGUCGAGCGAACAGACGAGAAGCUUGCUUCUCUGAUGUUAGCGGCGGACGGGUGAGUAACACGUGGAUAACCUACCUAUAAGACUGGGAUAACUUCGGGAAACCGGAGCUAAUACCGGAUGAUAUUUUGAACCGCAUGGUUCAAAAGUGAAAGACGGUCUUGCUGUCACUUAUAGAUGGAUCCGCGCUGCAUUAGCUAGUUGGUAAGGUAACGGCUUACCAAGGCAACGAUGCAUAGCCGACCUGAGAGGGUGAGCGGCCACACUGGAACUGAGACACGGUCCAGACUCCUACGGGAGGCAGCAGUAGGGAAUCUUCCGCAAUGGGCGAAAGCCUGACGGAGCAACGCCGCGUGAGUGAUGAAGGUCUUCGGAUCGUAAAACUCUGUUAUUAGGGAAGAACAUAUGUGUAAGUAACUGUGCACAUCUUGACGGUACCUAAUCAGAAAGCCACGGCUAACUACGUG